UGUUACCAGAACUGGACCCUAACCGCUGUCGAAAUGAAAGUGGUUGCUUGGGAUACAUUAACAUUGUGAUAUUAUUGAACCUUGCUGUCAUAAAUCACAUAAAUAUAACACUGUUGCUCUUUCUCUCAGGUUUUUCUGAAUUUACAUUUAUGUUCCAGGUAGAACUUGCACAGGUAGUUUUUCGUUGCAUUUAACUGAAUUGUUUGUAGAAGACAAAAAGGGCUUUUGUGUUUAGACUGUGCAUUGAAAUGUCUUUCCAUGUAAGUUCCAAAUAAGCUCAGAUGAGGCAUAAAAUAUAAUAAUAAAUUGCAAAAACUAGGACUUGGACUAGAUGAUCUCCAGAGGUACCUUCCAAGCCCAACCGUUCUGUGAUUCCGUGAUGCAUGGGACGUACUGCCCUGGAGGUCCAAGUGAACCAAGGAGGUUGGGGCUCAAAGGCUCCCCUUGAGUGUUGUUGGGACUCGCUCACUGUCAGCAGUCCUCUGUCCAUCACAGUUUCCUAUUUGUCUGUGCCUGAACUCAGUCCUUAUAGUCAUAUGUCUCGUUUGAAGCUUUUAGGUAGCCCUGCUUGAAUUCCAAAGAUGCUCAAGUGCCUUCUUGAUUCAGAGGUUUAGCAAGUUCACAUCAGAAAGCCACUAGCAACAGGAGGGGAAACUGCUUCUAACGGUGCCAUUCAGUGGAGCUGGAGGUUCAAAUGCUUGAGGACUGUCAUCUUUGGUACAACCAAUCCCUGCUACACUCAGUGUCUCACCGUGUGACACCAAGAUGUUCUGCUCGUGUUUCUGUGUCAUUAGGAGCAUAUCACGACAAACCCAUGUGGCUGCAGGACUACAGGACAGACAGACAGUCACCCUUCUGUGCCUCUUCCCUGAGAGAGCCAGGACAUGAGCACCAGAUGUGUCAGACACCACGGGACAAGGGAACAUCUGGAGCAGCCAUACACGUGCG